GCUAAACGCGAAGAACCUUACCUGGCCUUGACAUGUCCGGAAUUCUGCAGAGAUGCGGAAGUGCCUUCGGGAAUCGGAACACAGGUGCUGCAUGGCUGUCGUCAGCUCGUGUCGUGAGAUGUUGGGUUAAGUCCCGCAACGAGCGCAACCCUUGUCCUUAGUUGCCAGCGAGUAAUGUCGGGAACUCUAAGGAGACUGCCGGUGACAAACCGGAGGAAGGUGGGGAUGACGUCAAGCCCUCAUGGCCCUUACGGCCAGGGCUACACACGUACUACAAUGGUCGGUACAGAGGGUUGCCAAACCGCAAGGUGGAGCCAAUCCCAGAAAGCCGAUCCCAGUCCGGAUCGGAGUCUGCAACUCGACUCCGUGAAGUCGGAAUCGCUAGUAAUCGCGGAUCAGCUAUGCCGCGGUGAAUACGUUCCCGGGUCUUGUACACACCG
rnacentral:rRNA from 1 species